rnacentral:rRNA from 1 species
UACGUAGGGGGCUAGCGUUAUCCGGAAUUACUGGGCGUAAAGGGUGCGUAGGUGGUUUCUUAAGUCAGAGGUGAAAGGCUACGGCUCAACCGUAGUAAGCCUUUGAAACUGGGAAACUUGAGUGCAGGAGAGGAGAGUGGAAUUCCUAGUGUAGCGGUGAAAUGCGUAGAGAUGUGGAGGAACACCAGUGGCGAAGGCGGCUUCCUGGUCUGUAACUGACACUGAGGCGCGAAAGCGUGGGGAGCAAACAGGAUUAGAUACCCUGGUAGUCCCUGAG